rnacentral:rRNA from 1 species
UACGUAGGGUGCGAGCGUUGUCCGGAAUUAUUGGGCGUAAAGAGCUUGUAGGCGGUUUGUCGCGUCUGCUGUGAAAAUCCGGGGCUCAACCCCGGACUUGCAGUGGGUACGGGCAGGCUAGAGUGUGGUAGGGGAGACGUGGAAUUCCUGGUGUAGCGGUGGAAUGCGCAGAUAUCAGGAGGAACACCGAUGGCGAAGGCAGGGUCUCUGGGCCACUACUGACGCUGAGAAGCGAAAGCAUGGGGAGCGAACAGG